GUGAGGAUGGCCAAGCGGUCUAAGGCCCUGUGUUCGGGUCGCAGUCUCCUCUGGAGGCGUGGGUUCAAAUCCCACUUCUGACU